UUUGCCUUUCAAUAAUAUGUCUAAAGCCUA
rnacentral:piRNA from 1 species